GUGAUUGCAAGUUUUGCCGGUAGAGCCAACAGGAUGACAGUCGCAGCCUGAAAUGAGAGAAAAACAAAUGAAGAAAGUGAUUAGAAAAACCCUACACUUCGAAUUAUUUCAAGUCCCCAACCUAUCUUUGACCUUUAUACUACUUUCAAACGUUGAUGUGAAGAAUAAAGUCCUAAGAAAAUUAUUACUUGAAUAUAACUUGAAUAUCUUCCUGUUAAAUUUCUUUUAAUGAACAACUUUUUAGUGGAUCAGACACCCUACUAUGCCGAGAACUAUGCUCUAUUUCAUCUCCAUUCCACUUAAAGCUUCGAAAAGUUGAACCUCUCCCUUAAAAUGUAACUGCAAAUGAUAGUAAAGCGUACGAAAUCACUUAAAGCAAGCAAACAAAGAAUAUCAAAAUGUGCGUAUAAAUAAUUAUAAUUUAGUUGAAUAAGCUAAACAGUUCGAAACCCAUCUACUUAUUAUGUAUCAUUAAAGUAAAA